CAACCAAUUCUCCCCAUCUCUCAACUACCUUCGUCUCUCCCCCAAUAGCAGUCAUUAGCUGCAACAAAGUCUCCACCAUCUUCUCUACCCAUUCUCCUCUUCUAACCAGCAACCCAUCGUCUCCCUUUCUUCUCAGCCAUCCUGCUUUUCUCCCUGUUAUGGUGUCCUCACCUCCACCAAUCUCAUUCCUCUUUCCUCCACAGCUGAGCCCACCCAAAACUCAGCUCUUUCUUCCACCUCUCUACCAACAAUUGCAGCUGUUCCAACCACCUAGCAGCAAUAGCCACAACUUACAAACUCUCUGCUACUAGCACUCACCAUCCACCACACCCUCUUCUACCUGUCACCCUGCCCUUCACCAUAUCUCCCCAUCUCCACCUCUCUUUGCUGCCCCCAACCAUCUCGUCUCAGCCCCCUCUCCUUGCUACUCACACAGGCACCAUCCUCCUCGUACCCCAACCAGCAGCUAAUCACCUCCAGCUGUUGCUCUCUCGCUAAUCCUCUGCGGUACACGCAGCCCCUCCUCUGCUCUCAGCCACUUCCAACUCCUCGCACCAUCGGAACCAGGUGGCAACCCGAUCCACCACCCCUCUCGCUGCAACCUAUCCUCAGCUACUGCAGCCAUCUCCGCAACCUCUCGUCAGCUGCUGCACCCAUCGCAACCAUCUCUUUCCACCUCAGUCUCCACCUUCCGGCUCCCUCAUCUCUGCCGUUCUCUUUCUUCCCCAUCUUCUCCGCAUCCUCGUGCUCUUCUCUCGCUCAAAUUUUCAGCAAUAUCGUGCGUCCCAUUCUUCUCCCUGCAACGUCAACCUCUCGCUAGA
rnacentral:lncRNA from 1 species